rnacentral:misc_RNA from 1 species
UCCGAGUUAUCCCCGGCAGUCUCCUAUGAGUCCCCGGCCGAACCGCUGGCAACAUAGGACAAGGGUUGCGCUCGUUGCGGGACUUAACCCAACAUCUCACGACACGAGCUGACGACAGCCAUGCACCACCUGUCACGGGCCCUUACGGACACUGUAUUUCUACAGCUUUUCCCGUGAUGUCAAACCCAGGUAAGGUUCUUCGGGUUGCAUCGAAUUAAGCCGCAUGCUCCGCCGCUUGUGCGGGGACCCGUCAAUUCCUUUGAGUUUUAGCCUUGCGGCCGUACUCCCCAGGCGGGGCGCUUAAUGCGUUAGCUACGGCACGGAUCCCGUGGAAGGAAACCCACACCUAGCGCCCACCGUUUACGGCGUGGACUAC